UACGGAGGGAGCUAGCGUUGUUCGGAAUUACUGGGCGUAAAGCGCACGUAGGCGGCCUUGUAAGUUAGAGGUGAAAGCCCGGGGCUCAACUCCGGAACUGCCUUUAAGACUGCAUCGCUUGAAUCCGGGAGAGGUGAGUGGAAUUCCGAGUGUAGAGGUGAAAUUCGUAGAUAUUCGGAAGAACACCAGUGGCGAAGGCGGCUCACUGGACCGGUAUUGACGCUGAGGUGCGAAAGCGUGGGGAGCAAACAGG
rnacentral:rRNA from 1 species